rnacentral:lncRNA from 1 species
GUUAUUUACUUGGGUUUUGUUGUUGUUGCUGCUGCUACUGCUGUUGUUGUCUUUGUUUUGUUUGUUUUGGCUAUCCUGGAACUCACUCUGUAGACCAGGCUGGCUUCAAACUCAGAGGUCCUCCUGCCUCUGCCUCCGGAGUGCUGGGAUUAAAGGUGUGCGACCACCACCACCACCACCGCUGUUUCCACCACUACCAGGCUUCAGCUUCCUUUCUUAUACAGCCCAGGACACCUGCCCAGAGCUGGUCCCACCCACACUGGGAGGGGCCCUCCUGCAUUAAUCAUCAAUCGAGAAAAUGCUUCAAAGCCUUGCCAGCAGGCGCGGCAAGAACUGACACCAGGAGGAAGCUUUG